AUCAGCAGUCAGUUGAUGAACUGCCUUGAUGGUAUGAGUGUAACCUCAAAAGGAAGAAAACAAGAUGACUUAAAGCAUUUUGGUUUUUGGAAGGAAGCUUUCUGAAGCUAAAGGAUGACAGAUUGCUGUCUUUGCUAAGGGAGGCCUGCCCUGUGUGAUUUCCCUCUGCUCACUGAGUCGAAGAGCACAGUUCCUGAUGAGACCAAGGUCUCUCUGCUGCUUGACUGAACUGGUUGAAAAUCACAGGCGAAGGAUUUGCUGGAAAAGCUUGACAGCCAAGUUGGACUGAGAGUAUAAACAGAGAUACCAAAGAGCAAUCUCAUUGUGCCUUCUCUCCAUCAACAAAUGCCAAGCCGUGGGAUACCUUUGAAUUUGCCAGUGAUUUCUGAAAAGAAAAAAAGGAAAGGAAAUUCUUCAGCCAUAACAGGAACACUUUCAGGAAAAGAGCUGGAGAUUAUUUCACAUAUUCUGACAUAACCCAAGAAAACAACAGAUGGCAACUUCAUCCAAGUGGGUGUUAUCCACUGGGACUGCAAAACAGGAGCUUGUUUUCCAGUAACUUCCUGCCUUUCAGGUUAAAAGUUGCAGAA